rnacentral:rRNA from 1 species
GUGUCAGCAGCCGCGGUAAGACAGAGGGUGCAAACGUUGCUCGGAAUCACUGGGCGUAAAGCGCGUGUAGGCGGACCGGCAAGUCAGGUGUGAAAUCCCUGGGCUCAACCCAGGAACUGCAUCUGAAACUUCCGGUCUGGAGUGUCGGAGAGGGAAGCGGAAUUCCGGGUGUAGAGGUGAAAUUCGUAGAUAUCCGGAGGAACACCGGUGGCGAAGGCGGCUUCCUGGACGACUACUGACGCUGAGACGCGAAAGCGUGGGGAGCAAACAGGAUUAGAAACCCGCGUAGUCC